CUCCACUCCCUAUUCUGGAGGGAAAAAGAGUCCUGGAAUUCUAGUGUAGGGUGUCAGUUCCUUAAAAAUCCCGAUAUUUCAGGGCGCGGAUGGAUCUGAAGUUGCGGGACAGCCAGGGUGGGCAGAGGCGCACGGUCGGCAUGGAUUGGCGCACCAGUGAGAAGAGCGGAUGUUGAUUGGCUGAUAGGGAAGGGCGAGGGUAAGGAAAGCUCUGGCACAUUCAGGAGCUGCCCAGCGCUGAUUCGUGCGCGGUGAGGUCUAAAUGACCCCAAGGGACAUGUGGCAAUUAUCUAUGCUGUCGAUGUGAGGAGACUUCUAAAGAGCAUUUUAUGAAGAUGCCAUCACAGUCUGCCUCCUGGCUGCGAGUCUUCUGGAUCUGAUCCAAGCUGCACUGCAGUGAAGGAGCUCUCUUUGUUCACAUUCCCUCUGCUGCAUCUGAGCCCACUGAGCAUGUGGUUUCUAGGGUGGGGUUUUUUAGCAGGAUAGCAAAGAAGCACCUUGAAAAAAAACAACAACAAAA